AGGAGGCGCAGAGCUCCCUCACCAGCCUGAUGCUGGCUCUUGGUGCUGCCACACUGCAAUGGCUAUUUGCCGUGGAUGGUGGGUGAUCCUUCUCUUCUUCCUCUGGGAGGAAGAGCAAGAGGGGAGGGACGCAGUCUGA
ensembl:snoRNA U3 Small nucleolar RNA U3